ACGCUGGCGGCAGGCCUAACACAUGCAAGUCGAGCGCGCCUUUCGGGGUGAGCGGCGGACGGGUUAGUAACGCGUGGGAACGUACCCUUUUCUGCGGAAUAGCCUCUGGAAACGGAGAGUAAUACCGCAUACGCCCUUUGGGGGAAAGAUUUAUCGGAGAAGGAUCGGCCCGCGUUAGAUUAGAUAGUUGGUGGGGUAACGGCCUACCAAGUCUACGAUCUAUAGCUGGUUUUAGAGGAUGAUCAGCAACACUGGGACUGAGACACGGCCCAGACUCCUACGGGAGGCAGCAGUGGGGAAUCUUGGACAAUGGGCGCAAGCCUGAUCCAGCCAUGCCGCGUGAGUGAAGAAGGCCUUAGGGUCGUAAAGCUCUUUCGCCUGUGAUGAUAAUGACAGUAGCAGGUAAAGAAACCCCGGCUAACUCCGUGCCAGCAGCCGCGGUAAUACGGAGGGGGUUAGCGUUGUUCGGAAUUACUGGGCGUAAAGCGCGCGUAGGCGGAUUGGAAAGUUGGGGGUGAAAUCCCGAGGCUCAACCUCGGAACUGCCUCCAAAACUCCCAGUCUAGAGUUCGAGAGAGGUGAGUGGAAUUCCAAGUGUAGAGGUGAAAUUCGUAGAUAUUUGGAGGAACACCAGUGGCGAAGGCGGCUCACUGGCUCGAUACUGACGCUGAGGUGCGAAAGUGUGGGGAGCAAACAGGAUUAGAUACCCUGGUAGUCCACACCGUAAACGAUGAAUGCCAGUCGUCGGGUAGUAUACUAUUCGGUGACACACCUAACGGAUUAAGCAUUCCGCCUGGGGAGUACGGU
rnacentral:rRNA from 1 species